GCUACGGAAUGAAAAUUUUACCUUAACUGGUUCUAAGCUACAGCCUCACAUCAUGCUUUUGUGAAGAUGAAGCAGUGCUUCACUGCUCACCCAAACCAGGGUGCCAGAUUUCACAAUGUGAUCCAAUACCCAGCGGAUGGGGCGGCUUAGGCUUCAACAUUGAAAAACACCUUCAUGCAAAAGAAUUCCCGAUUACCUGCAAAACAACGAGUAUUGCUAAAUUUCAGAAUCCUUACGGCUUGCUUUCUGCUGUUUCCAGAAAUGUGUUAGAUAUCAGUCAUAUCAGAUCAAAAUUGAAAGCGUUGGAAAGUACUGUCAAUGAAAACAAGACAAAAGAAUAUGAAAGUGAAAAUUCGGGAUACGUGGAUCUGAGCAACAAAUUCGAGGAACUAUCGGGUAAGAUCGAAGAUAUCCAGAAGUUAACUGCACAUCAGUCUCAGGCGAUAAACUACAUACUGCAUACCCUUAUCGACCACACUACCAAAAUGAAGAAUCUAAAAAGGAAAACUGCAGAACAAUCGUCGAAAACUACUGAUAUAAUUGAUGAAAAUACCAAUCAAUUGCCCCGAAUACGAAAAGAAUACG